rnacentral:rRNA from 1 species
AUACGUAGGUUGCAAGCGUUACUCGGAAUUACUAGGCGUAAAGCGCGUGUAGGCGGUUCUUUAAGUCUGUUGUGAAAUUCCACGGCUUAACGGUGAAAAGUCGACAGAUACUGAAGAACUAGAGUGAGGUAGGGGAAACUGGAAUUCCAGGUGUAGCGGUGGAAUGCGUAGAUAUCUGGAAGAACGCCGAAGGCGAAGGCAGGUUUCUGGGCCUUUACUGACGCUGAGACGCGAAAGCUAGGGGAGCAAACAGGAUUAGAUACCCUGGUAGUCCUAGCCGUAAACGAUGUAGACUAGGUGUGGGAGGUAUCGACCCCUUCCGUGCCGAAGCUAACGCAUUAAGUCUACCGCCUGGGGAGUACGGCCGCAAGGUUAAA